ACACUUUAUUUUUCUAGACUAAACAGAACUGAAAACCCUCAUGGAGACUGAUCAUUAAUCAGAAGUGCAAAGGGUCCCCAAAAAUGAAGUAAAGCACAGUGACUCUGUCUAUCUUUUAUUUGUUCUGUUGUUUUAUUUUGUUUUAAGACAGGGUCUUGCUCUGUUGCCCAGGCUGACCUCAAACUUACAUCGAUCCUGCUGCCUCAGCCUCCUGAGUACUGGGAUUCUAGCUAUGUACUAGCACACCUGGCUGAAUAUUUUUACUAUAGAAACUGUCAAAUGCAAUUCAGGACACCUGGUGAGCUGGAUGGUAAACAUUUCCUAGCAUGCCACUGAGGGGCCUUUGGGUGGACUGUGGUUUUUGUCCUGGCACUGGAAAUGAAAUUGAAGAGGUUUCUGGUCAAUCUAGCUGUUGGGUCAGAGACAAAAUUGCCCACCGCCGCCAUGCAUGAUCUGGGAGGAAAGGCUAUUAUCUGUUAAGAAGGGAGAUACAGAGAAAGCCAUCCAGGGAGAAAAAAAAGCAGGAACAGUGACAGAGUAACCCAGCAACUCAACCCCACUGGCCCAACUUGCUUUUCUGGAUAUCAAAGCAGAAGCCAAAGACACAGUCAGCACCCAGAAGCAACAUCAGAAGCGAAGAUGGCAGCAGAGAAGCACUUCACUGCCACAGGCAAACUCUCACUGUGACAUGGCACAGGGUCUACCUGACAGCUUCUUCAGGAGCAGAGGUGGAGCUGGGGAUCAAAGACCAGUUAGGAAGACAGGAUCCCGGACAGUCUGCCCUACACCGGAGCCAGGAGAGUCAGGAAUCCCAGGUUCUGUGCUUCGGUUUUAAUGGCUUUGGCUUAGCCCCACCUCCCCUGGAAGGCUGACAACUGUUUCUCAAAAACAUUCACAACUGCUCGCCCCUUUCUCAAAGGGAACUUUGGUCCUGACCCCCUGAUUUGCUCUCCUGAGCAUCCCAGUCGCUCUGCCUGCUCCCCCUUCUAGUCAGCUUGAAAUUUAGGGGCUUCUCAGAGGGCUCUGCCGUGAGCCUUUUUCUUUCUCAUUCUUCACUGAGCAGGCACAUCAUCUCCCGGGGCCUCUGUUGACCACCAGAAGGACAAGGGCUCCUGAAUCUGUGUCUUCAGUCCUCUUGGCUGUCACCCUGGUCUUUCCCCAUCAAGGCCAAAGACAAACUUCCCACCUAGUCUGACUUCGCUCACAUUUGGUAACUCUUCACUGGGGUAGGGUGUUGGGAGCCGCAGCCCCGAGCCCGGUCGCCUUACUUGGCGGACGUGAGGCCUGUAGGAAAGAGCAAAGCCUGAGCUAGAUUACCCCUCCCAUCGAGUGUGCUAAGAUGGCGCUUAUCUCCUGCUUGGUAAACAACCCGCCCUGUAAGAUCUCCUGCUUCACAACCCGCCCUGUAAGAUAGUCUGCCUAGCAACAACUGAUGUUAGCCAAUCAGCCCGCAUCGCGCGCUUUGAACUGGUUGGCCACUGUAACCCUAUAAAAGUGAGUGCCUCUCCUGCCAAAAAAAGAAGAAGAAGCAAAAGAAGCAGAAGAAGCACGCAAGGAGCCGCGGAGAGCGGACCGGUAGAGGCUUCGGGACAGACUGUAGGGAGAAGCACGCAAGGAGCCGCGGGGAGCGGACCAACAGAGGCUUCGGCCGGGAGGAUUCCCGGGGCAGGCUGUACGGAGAAGGAAAAUAAAAGAAAAGGUUGUCCACUGCCAGACUUUGUUGUGUGUCCUUCCUGCCGGCCGGGAGUGACACCGACAUCUGGUGGCCCGUACGGGGAGCUGAUCACCCCCGAGACGUGGCAGUGGACAACGCUCCAACGCAGAGCUGCAAGACAGGAACCGGGACGAGAACCACUGUGGGUACCGGAGAGACUGACACGGGCAACAAAGCCCUCGACUAAAGAUCAGACCUGCCCUACCGGAGAUCCAUCACAGACCAACCAACAAGAUGAAUAGAAAUAGCGGUAGCCCGAAAUGGACAAAAAGAUCCUCAGGCAUAUGCAUGGCUCGCUCGCCUAGCCUACGACCGAGUCUAGGGGCGGUGAGCUUCCCACACUCCUCCUCUAAAAAAUUAUGACAUAGCUGGGUAGGAGAGUCAAUGACGGGUAAGAGCGUACUCCCCCGGUGCGACUCAACCUAAGCCAGGCCCUACCCCAUCCUGCACGUAAGCCGCUGGACUGUUAGAUGCUGCCCAGGUCUAAAUUUCUCUCCGAGGGGAUUUCUUUACGGAGAGGAAAUGAGUGCAAGCUUGUGUGCAUCCAGGUUCCGUCCAGUUUGUGCCUGGCCCUAGAAAAAGGACGAGGGCCUCAGGGCCUUGGCAGACCAUGGCACGGCCGACCAGGGUCUAAGCCAAGGACCUACGGUGGGCCUACGCAUAGGGCAUAAGCCUCUGCACCCAGUCCAGGAAGGGCUACGAUGCGCACAUUCAUAAAAAAUAAAAAAGGGGGAGAUGUUGGGAGCCGCAGCCCCGAGCCCGGUCGCCUUACUUGGCGGACGUGAGGCCUGUAGGAAAGAGCAAAGCCUGAGCUAGAUUACCCCUCCCAUCGAGUGUGCUAAGAUGGCGCUUAUCUCCUGCUUGGUAAACAACCCGCCCUGUAAGAUCUCCUGCUUCACAACCCGCCCUGUAAGAUAGUCUGCCUAGCAACAACUGAUGUUAGCCAAUCAGCCCGCAUCGCGCGCUUUGAACUGGUUGGCCACUGUAACCCUAUAAAAGUGAGUGCCUCUCCUGCCAAAAAAAGAAGAAGAAGCAAAAGAAGCAGAAGAAGCACGCAAGGAGCCGCGGAGAGCGGACCGGUAGAGGCUUCGGGACAGACUGUAGGAAGAAGCAUGCAAGGAGCCGCGGAGAGCGGACCGGUAGAGGCUUCGGGACAGACUGUAGGGAGAAGCACGCAAGGAGCCGCGGGGAGCGGACCAACAGAGGCUUCGGCCGGGAGGAUUCCCGGGGCAGGCUGUACGGAGAAGGAAAAUAAAAGAAAAGGUUGUCCACUGCCA